rnacentral:rRNA from 1 species
UACGGAGGGUGCAAGCGUUAAUCGGAAUUACUGGGCGUAAAGCGUGCGCAGGCGGUUUGUUAAGUCUGUUGUGAAAUCCCCGAGCUCAACUUGGGAAUUGCAAUGGAUACUGGCAGGCUGGAGUAUGGUAGAGGAAGGUGGAAUUCCCGGUGUAGCAGUGAAAUGCGUAGAGAUCGGGAGGAACACCAGUGGCGAAGGCGGCCUUCUGGACCAAUACUGACGCUGAGGUGCGAAAGCGUGGGGAGCGAUCCGG